UACGUAGGUCCCGAGCGUUGUCCGGAUUUAUUGGGGGUAAAGCGAGCGCAGGUGGUUUAUUAAGUCUGGUGUAAAAGGCAGUGGCUCAACCAUUGUAUGCAUUGGAAACUGGUAGACUUGAGUGCAGGAGUGGAGAGUGGAAUUCCAUGUGUAGCGGUGAAAUGCGUAGAUAUAUGGAGGAACACCGGUGGCGAAAGCGGCUCUCUGGUCUGUAACUGACGCUGAGGUUCGAAAGCGUGGGUAGCAAACAGG
rnacentral:rRNA from 1 species